GGGCUGAUGGAGAAAUUGGUGAGACUCAGCGCACUUAAAAUGCGCCGCUUAGAGCAUGGGGGUUCGAAUCCCCCUCGGCCUACCA
rnacentral:tRNA from 1 species